ACCCUCCUGCUCCCUUCUCCAUCAGAACUGAACACUGGUCUUAGUGGUUGUAAAAGGAGGAAGAAUAAUAAAAGCUGGCCUCAAGGGGCUAGUAGUCAACCAGAUAGCACAUGGGCUAGUUUUAAGCAAAG